rnacentral:rRNA from 1 species
GCGGAAGGAUCUUACAAGUGAGGCUACCGAACGUUGGAAACAGCGGUUAGGAGCUUACACCCACCCGUGUUUACAUACUAUUGUUGCUUUGGCGGGCCGUGGCCUCCACUGCGGGCUCUGCUCGUGUGUGCCCGCAGAGGACCAAACUCUGAAUGUUAGUGAUGUCUGAGUACUAUCUAAUAGUUAAAACUUUCAACAACGGAUCUCUUGGUUCUGGCAUCGAUGAAGAACGCAGCGAAAUGCGAUAAGUAAUGUGAAUUGCAGAAUUCAGUGAAUCAUCGAAUCUUUGAACGCACAUUGCGCCCUGUGGUAUUCCGCAGGGCAUGCCUGUUCGAGCGUCAUUUAACCACUCACAGCCUAGCGUGGUAUUGGGGCACGCGGUCUCGCGGCCCUCAAAAUUAGUGGCGGCGCCGGUGGGCUCUAAGCGUAGUACAUACUCCCGCUAUAGAGUUCCCCCGGUAGCUCGCCAGAACCCCCGAAUUUUUUACAGGUUGACUCGAU